GGACCUGUAGCUCAGUGGUAGAGCGUGAGAUUCCAGGUUUGGGUGUUUCCUCAAGGCCAUCCGUUCAAUCCGGGUCAGGUUCA